rnacentral:rRNA from 1 species
CGUUGAGGCGGUUUCGUAAGUUGGACGUGAAAGCCCCAAGCUUAACUUGGGGAGGUCGUUCAAUACUGCGAGACUUGAGGACAGCAGAGGGAGGUGGAAUUCCCGGUGUAGUGGUGAAAUGCGUAGAUAUCGGGAGGAACACCAGUGGCGAAGGCGGCCUCCUGGGCUGCUCCUGACGCUGAAGGCGAAAGCUAGGGUAGCGAACG